GAUUUCAUCUGAAAAAGUCAUCAAUAACAAAGUUGUAUAACUCAUCAAGAUCUAUAACUUUUAUUUUGGUCAUUUCUUCAUCCGACAAAGUGAUUUGUAAAAUUGUUCACAGAAAUGCACAUAUCUUUUAUAUAGUUUAUAAAACUACGAGAGAGAUGUACAUUUUAUUAACAAUCUUAUAAAUAAACUUGUCAGAUAAAGAAAUGACUAAAAUAGAAGUUAUAGAUCUUGAUGAGUUAUACAACUUUGUUGGUGAUGACUUUUUCAGUUGAAAUC
rnacentral:pre_miRNA from 1 species